AUGGCAUUUGGGCUGACAUGGGUUUUCCUUGUUGCUGUUUUAAAAGGUGUCCAGUGUGAGGUGCAGCUGGUGGAGUCUGGGGGAGGCUUGGUCCAGCCUGGGGGGGUCCCUGAGACUCUCCUGUGCAGCCUCUGGAUUCACCUUCAGUGACCACUACAUGAACUGGGUCCGCCAGGCUCAGGGAAGGGGCUGGAGUGGGUUGGCCACUCAAACUUUGUUUUUAAACAAAGCUAACAGUUAAACGACAGAAUACGCUGCGUCUGUGAAAGGCAGAUUCACCAUCUCAAGAGAUGAUUCAAAGAACACCCUGUAUCUGCAAAUGAGCAGCCUGAAAACCGAGGACACGGCCGCGUAUUACUGUGCUAGAGACACAGUGAGGGGAGGUCAGUGUGAGCCCAGAUGCAAACCCCCCUGCAGGGGCGCGCGGGGCCUCCAGGGGGCGCUCGGGACCCACUGAGGACGCGCAGGUCCCAGGAGCAGAUAAAGAGCACGUUGUCUUCACUCUGAGUCUGAGGGAGGAGCUGUUCCUGUACAACCAAGGGCCUUCAGAGACCCCCGUGUGCAGCUGUGCAGAGUCAGAUGUUUCCCCAUCUCCAGCGUUCUCCAUCGGUGUCAUCACCUUGCAGAUCUGCUGCCCUGCCCUGCAGACUAAGGCUCUGAUUCCAUAA